rnacentral:rRNA from 1 species
UACGAAGGGGGCUAGCGUUGCUCGGAAUUACUGGGCGUAAAGGGCGCGUAGGCGGAUAUCUAAGUUGGGGGUGAAAUCCCGGGGCUUAACCUCGGAAUUGCCUUCAAAACUGGAUAUCUUGAGUUCGGGAGAGGUGAGUGGAACUCCGAGUGUAGAGGUGAAAUUCGUAGAUAUUCGGAAGAACACCAGUGGCGAAGGCGACUCACUGGCCCGAUACUGACGCUGAGGCGCGAAAGCGUGGGGAGCAAACGGGG